CUUUUUUUUAGACACCAGGAGAGAGAUUGGGGUAGUAGAGAAUCAUCUGGAAGUCAUCAGCAUCCAGGUGGUCACUGAAUCCAAAAGUAUUAAUAAGUUUGCUAAGAGAGGUAGUGUAGAGAGAAAGCUUAGUCAGAGCAUUUUCAGUAAAAUGCAGAAGGUAGACUAAAGAGGGUUGAGACAAGCAGUUCCAGAAGCUUUUAAAAGAAAGGGAGCAGAG